rnacentral:rRNA from 1 species
GGGAGGCAGCAGUGGGGAUAUUGGACAAUGGGCGAAAGCCUGAUCCAGCAAUGCCGCGUGAGUGAUGAAGGCCUUAGGGUUGUAAAGCUCUUUUACCAGGGAUGAUAAUGACAGUACCUGGAGAAUAAGCUCCGGCUAACUCCGUGCCAGCAGCCGCGGUAAUACGGAGGGGGUUAGCGUUGUUCGGAAUUACUGGGCGUAAAGCGCGCGUAGGCGGACUAUUAAGUCAGGGGUGAAAUCCCGGGGCUCAACCCCGGAACUGCCUUUGAUACUGGUAGUCUAGAGUUCGAGAGAGGUGAGUGGAAUUCCGAGUGUAGAGGUGAAAUUCGUAGAUAUUCGGAGGAACACCAGUGGCGAAGGCGGCUCACUGGCUCGAUACUGACGCUGAGGUGCGAAAGCGUGGGG